rnacentral:misc_RNA from 1 species
GAGUCCAGCGCGUCACAGAUACCACACAUAAACUCUCUUUCUCUCUCUGCAAAAUCACUUCGCGGUGUCUUUCAUCGGUCCGACCGUUCCCACUUCUACCUGCGUCGCCUCCCUGUCACUCUUGCGCACUCAUCUCAUCAGCGAGCGUGGACUUCUUCUUUUCGCCUUGCUGCAUUUGGUUUUGGCGCGCGCCUCUGUGACUGCUCCCUCUCAUCACACCAUACUUCUCUGUGCGCGCCCCCCCCCUCCACCCCGCCGAAGCUCCACCUCAGACCUGAGCAAACGUUAUGCACACGCACAAGCUUGUAUGCACAAACCAAGGCUAGCUGCGAGAGCGGCGUCUUUGGCUCACCUCCUGCUCGCCUUUGUCGUCGUUGGUGCUCUCUCUGUCCUUCUCUGUUGCGCGUCCGCCGACGCCCUUCGUGUAAGAGUCCCACACGCAACCAUCGCAGGUCACCCAAUGCCGCCGAGUGGGCAGGAGGACCAGCAGGCGGUGAGUGAGCCAAAGCCGGUGUCUCCCAGUGACCUCGAGCGCAUGAGGGCCGAGAGCAACGAGAUCUGGCGCAACCGCCCCCGUGCGAUCCCGAGAGAAAGCGAUGGAGCUUUUAAGCUUGCGGAGCAGCGCGUGUGUCGACUUCCGAACGGAGGUGUUUCAGCUGGCGUCCUUGAGCAACUCCAGCGUAACCGUGCGCAACGCGAAGCCGAGAAAAGAGAAAAGGAGGAGCGUGAGAGGAAGGCAGAGGAACAGCAGCGCGAGCAGAACAAAGAGCUGUAGCGAAACAAAAAUGUGCUCAUGGGGUCGGCAGAGGACGCCUUGGCAGCAUAAGCGGCAACAGCGGCACUAUAAAAGCCAGAUCGGAACCCGAGGGACACCUUUCACUGUGGCCCACUUCCUUGAGCACUGCCACCCAGUCCGCUGUGUGUCGGUGUAUGGGCUCUCUCCCUCUUGUACACUGCGGACGUUCUCCCUCGUGGCUUCAUCUGUACAAAAUGGUUGGCGCUCGUUUUCUUCUUUUACUUUGUCCCUUCCCGUGUGCACGCGCUCUUUCUCUAUCUUCUGUUACCCGCAAGUACAUGAGUGUGCGUAGUCGAAUGUGCGCAUGAUAUCGGCUGGCCGUGUUGACGUACAGAGGCACGACGGCACGAUAUCGGUAAUGAGGGGGUAGCACGGGACGACGGCAAGAGAGAAGUAAGUGGUGACCGCGGCUUCCCCCCUGCUCCCGCAAGCUCUCUCUCUUUUCCUUCGUCUUGUUCUUCCAAGUCCUGUUACCCACCCCACCCACACACACACACACAUACUCGCUCGCUCGCUCUCUCGUUGGCGUCGCUCUCAUCAUUCAUUUAUUUGCUUUUUCCUGUCUAUCAUUCUACCCUUUUCUAUUUGUUUUUGAUGGUUCAUGUCGCACUCCCUCGUUCAGCUCAUUGGGACACACUUGCACACGCACACACAACCACACACGCAUUCUACACCUUGUUGUGCUCCAUUGUUUUCCCCCUUUUAUUAGUGUCCUCCGCCUCUUUAUGUUCUAGGAUGCUCCCUCGACAAGCCGCGCACAUGAGCUCUACUCAUCCGAGCGUUGUCCACCGCCAUGAUCCCCUCCCCCACACGCACGCGCACACGUCUGCCCAGCCCCUCCAUCUCUCUCUCGGGCAGCUCGCUUCGUUUCGUUUCUUCGCGCUGCUUUACUUUUCGCCUGUAUUCGGCCUCUCCCCCUCACUCCUCCUUCCCUCUCCGUGCACCCUUGUAUAAGCAAAUGUGUAUCGAUCUACAUCUAUACAUGUGUGUGUGUGUGUGUGUGCGUGUGCGUGUGCGCCAGUCAGCGUGUUUCGGAGUUGAGGAAGACGGAACGAAAGAAAAAAAAAACACCCAUCGGAUGGCUCAAACCACGCAUACACACAGACACACCAAACAUAGGGGCGCGGGAUUGCAGGGAGCGGCACACUCCGCAAACGGCGCGGUUACACGGGCAGGGGA